rnacentral:tRNA from 1 species
GGACCUUUAGCUCAGUUGGUUAGAGCGUUCGCCUGUUAAGCGAAGGGUCGCAGGUUCAAGUCCUGCAGGGUCCGCCA